rnacentral:lncRNA from 1 species
AUGGAUGCUACUACGUGGAGGCUGUCGACGACCAGGAGUAGUUAGGAGGUCCCAGGCAGGAGGCCUUGCCUCUUCGAUCGUUGUUGCUUUUGUGCUAGCCUUCUUAAGGCAUCCUUGUUUAACUUAUGUAUGUACUCAGAUAUUGUUGCUUUCGCUGACUCUUGUGUAUCGAGCUAUGUAUUCAAGCCCUCGAGGCCCCUGGCUUGUAAUAUAAAGCUUGUAUUAUUUUAAUUUGUGUCUAGAGUUGUGUUGUGAUAUCUUCCCGUGAGUCCCUGAUCUUGAUCGUACACAUUUGCGUGUAUGAUUAGUGUACGAUUGAAUUGGGGGUGUCACAAUUUGGUAUCAGAGCCGACUGCCUAUAGGAUCCCCUUUUCAACUCCUUGGCCGAAGUUGAGUCUAGUUUAAAAAAAACGAUUUUACUAAUAUGGCUGUGUGGCUUACGGGCCCACGUCGCCAAUUGGGUGGUAUUAGGAUCUUUUAUUCCUUGUCUAUACUCUGGGAAUCUAAUCUCUCUUCUAUUCGGGUUAAAUGAUUUUGCUGACUCUAACUCUAGGUUCUCGUAAAUACUUUCUCCCGGAGAGCCCCUCACCCCAGAUUAUUACUUGGUGCAUCGGAAGAUUCUGGAGAUACUCUUCGAUGUGUUCCCGAGACCCUUGUGCCCUUCGCUGUUGCGAUCCCUACCACUACUAAGUCCUUAUGAGUAACUACCUACAUUGUCGUUCAUACCUUCAUCCCCAGUUGCUCUUGUUAUUACAAGAUGCCUCGAAUUACUCUCUGUUGUCCUGAGAAUCCGUUGAGCCUACUACCUUGUAGUUCUUUGCCACAUGAAUAUCCCCUACAGAUAAUUACCCGCACUUGCGAGUAUCCGUUCAUCCACAGUUGUUCAUGUGAUUCAUAAGAUACUUUGGAAUACCAUCCGAUCUUUCGAUAAUCCUCUCCAACUAUUGCUCUGCUAAUAUUUAUCUGCUUGCAUUAUGGUUACUUCCAUAUGUCCAGCAAUACUCAUUAGCAUCCUUUGUCAUCGUUAUUUCGAGCAUUUGAUUCGAUUUAUUUGUGAAUGCUUGUGAUCAUCAGUCCUAUUUAGAAUUCCUCCCAUCGGCUCAGAUGUCACCCCCGGACAUGAGCUGGUGUUCGACAAAUCAAGCCUUGAUUGAUUAUUGAUCUAUGUAUAUUUAACUUACUUGUCUUUGAUCAGAGCCUCUGCUUCUGACCCACCAUUUUGGAAAUCAUAAUUCCUAUGCAUUUGAGCUUUGAAUUAGUCAGUUGUUUCUAUAACCCGAUCUCCUUGCCUUUUCUUCUUCUUUUGGUUGAUUAUCGAUACUCACAUCAGAUCCCUUGUGAACCACCAGAUCCUUUGUGGGGUUCUAUCCGACAACGUCCUUCAUAUACAGUAACCUUGUGAGCCUUUCCUCGGAUACAUAAUGCCUUUGGUAAAUUGUAUUCCCCGCUCUUGCCAGCCAUACUCUGCUUCCGGGCUUUAUUUACUCAUAAAGUUUGCGUUGUUUAUUCCUAAGAUGCCCCGAUGGGUUGAAUCUAUGUCUUCCCUAAAUCCGUGUGAGCUCAAAAGUUAUGCGGGUUAUACUCUGCUGGCUUUUUGCCAGGUAAAUUUUCAACGCUACAACUUCUUCGAAUCCGAGAAGUGAAGGGAAGGUUGUGCAUUGGAGAAGUAGGAGUCGACCUUGAACUUUAUGUUCAUGCCCAUGGACACGAUGUACAUCCUAUCAUGGAAGCUUCUUGUUAUAAUAAUAACCCUCUUGUGAUAAGUUCAUCUAGUAUUUAUGUUUGUUCCUUCGCAACCGUGGUUCCAACCAUGAUUGUUCUUCUUUGAUUUCAUUUCUUGGACAAGUGGAAGUACUUGUCUUCUGUCGAUCAUUCCACCCGUCCAACCUCUGUUCUGCUAUACCCUCGAGUAUUACCCUCUGGUAUCUCGAGAAUAUCCUGGAACUACAUAACUUCUUAUGAGUUCUUCAUCAACUAUUAUUCUCGCCGAUUCAAAAAUUUCCACGUGUUCUGAGUUGUUACACACUCGAGAACACCGAUAACUGAUUCGAGUCUACACUUUCAUUUCCAUUGUUUUGUUUAACCUUUCUUGUAACCUAACAUAUCUGAGCAGUGGUAAUUCUCUGCUUAUGUAAACACAUCGGUGUACAAAGUCUGUCAGAAAGACCUUGAUACUAUUGUUGAUGACAUUCUGGUAGCCGCCGAUGGACGAGAACUUUGCCUAUUGGUCCGCCUCAUCUUAACGAGCAGGAAAAUGGUUCUCUUCAUCCCUCGCCCUUGGUACCGCGUUGUUGCCAACAUAACUGACAGGCUAUCCUCUGACCUGCCUUGCUAUCAUGACCGUACAAAAUGUUAGCACCCUUCCUGCUUUUAGCCCACAUGGUGGGCCCAUAACCCAUAGGUCCCAGGAUCGAAACCUGACUCUCCUAUACAUCCCUGUUUUCUAAGUUAUUCCUCGCGCUUGGCUUCAUAUGUAAUUCACGAGCCACAUUCCUUGUGAUCUGUUCUCGUAUCAAACGCAAUACUUAUUCUCAUUCCUCUGAACCCCUUUUCACCCUCUGUUUCAGGCAACGAACGAUUGCCUACCCGCUUAAAGCAUCUUAUUGCACCUCCUUACCUUGCUCUUGAUGACUUCUUGAAUUUAACUCGAGAGAUGCCUAUAUGCCAUGUUCACUGAGAUAGCCCCUAGGUACCUAUCUUGUGUUGAGCUCCAUCCUUCUCGAGUUUUUUCCCUUACUCCACCCCUUAAAUCUCGGGAUGAGAUUUCUUGUAGUGGAGGAGAAUUGUGACGCCAGGAUAAUUAAGCUACAGUAAUCCCCCGCUAACGGUGCCUUGUCAUCACUCUUACUAUUGCUAAUCCUUGGUUGAUCCAAAUCGCAAUCCAAAUUCAAGUUCAAACUAAAGUCCAAAAUUCAAAUUUGUCAAACAUGAAAUAAAAUGUUCAAAGUGUGGCAUAUAUUCCAUAUCUACUUAUGGUGGUGACCCAACACUUUUGUAAAAUGUUUAAAUCCCCUUUUGUGAAUAUAACAGUAGCUUAAACAACCAUUGAAAUGCCUCUUAUAAUUUCUAAAAAGUUAAACUAUUUUAUUUGUGAGUGAAACUCUUUGUGGCAGAGGUAUAAAUAGUAAUACUAAUUUAGAAACUACUUUUGUAUUUUAAAUAAACUAAAGUAAUGUGAAAAUUAAUUAAAACGGUGAAAGGUAAAUAACAAAAAGUAAUUAAACAAAAAAAAUAAACAAGACAACCCCCUCCCCCUGGGCCACUUGGCCCACCUAACCACCAGGCCGGCCCAAGCACACUGCCUCCCCCUCCCUGUUCACAGGGGGGAUCGUGGGCAGCGCUGAUGCCUGCCACUACACCGGUCGUCGUCGUGGCGGCCAUCCGACGGCCCUCCGGUGUUCCCCUGCCUAUAUCUACCCACUGCGCCUGGAACCCUAGCCGGCCCCUCCCCAUUCCCCUCGCGUCGCCCUCCUCUCCCUCCGCUCGCAACCGCGCCGCCAUCGCCAUGCCUCGACUCGUCCACGUGGCCACCGUCGACCCUGGCGCCUAGGAGCUGGACCAUCAGCUCCGUCAUCGUCUGCUACGUCGUGCACACCCUCGAGUCCUUGGUGGGAGCCCCUACAUCGCCGGAUUCGUCGUCGUCUUCAACCUACGGUCACCGGCGCGUCCACGAUGAUUGUCGCCGUUCUGCUGCUCCUAAGCCACCAACGGGCCAUCGUGUGCCUCCUCGGUGAGGCACCCAACCAUUCCCCUCUCCUUCCCGUGCGGAUCCGCUGUCGUAUUUGUCACUCUGUUUAAGGUCGAAGCCAUCGUCCGCCAUGGCCACGAGCUCAUCGUGGCCGUGCUUUUUCCCCGCGUCACUGGCCACCCCAGUUCGCCCCCUCGCACGUGUGCGCCUGCCCACGGCCGCGCCCCGCCCGCUGCCUUGCAACAGCUGCUGCUGCGCGCGCCUGUAGCCGCCACUGCCAUGGCCCCUAUUGCUCCAGUCGCUACUGCCAAGUGCCACAGCCGCUGUUGUUAGACUUUGAAUCAUGCUGCUUCCUUCUUCGGUUAACCCAAGUGUCAAUUUUUUUUCAGUUUCGUCAGAAUAAAAAUGUACAAGGAGUCAUUCUUGUAUGUGCUCGUAGUCUUUGUUUUCUGCAUGUAGUAGCUAGUGUUGCAGUGUUCGCUCCCAUGGAAUGGUGCGGCCAUUAGCUCAAACAUGGCCGGUAGGCCAGGAAGAAUGUGUUGCUGUAACAGCAAAUAAGUAGAAGAGAAGAAAACACUGCAGUUCCAGAGCGACGAGAGAGUGCGAGAACACCGACUACAACUACAGUUGCUAUCUGCCACUGCUCGUCGCCUGCUCGCCGCGCCAUUGCUCGCCUGGCCGUGCCCCCCGCGCACGCCCACCCACGCGUGGCCGCGCCACCGCCGCGCCCGUCGUCGCGGUCGCUGCUUCGCUGUUGUGCUGCUCCUUGCGUCGUUGUUGCUGCUGCCGCUAGCCGCUGCUCUGCGUGCCUGCUACUGCGUGGCCGCUGCUCAUGCCGCUGCUGCUCAAAUACUGCUGCUAGGUGCUGCUGAUGAUGCUUGGCCAUGGCCGCCAGCAGAUUAUGUAUGUGCUCGUGCGUGAGCUUCACGUACAGCCACACAAUGAGUUUGCCUAGUGCCAUUACCAUAUGGCCUAAUUAGAUUACUGUUAGUGCUAUCCUACUACUAGUAAUCAGUGACGCCGGGCCCAGCUGCCUAAAUAAAACAACUAAAAUCAUCUAAUUAAAGUAAAGGGAAUGACACACGAGACCCACUUCUACUAUUCAUAUAUUGACCGGUCAACCUUUGACUGGGUCAACCCUGGGUCAACACAACCCCACUGGCCCCAUUGUCAUACAAAUGGGCUAGAGAAGCACCAGGUGACAAAAGUAUAUUUUGCUUUUAAUUUGAAUUAUUAGAAUUCUAGAAAAUCAUUUAAACUUUGGGAAAAAUAUUAUAAAAUAAUCCGUAUGUCGGAUGAAAAUACUUUGAACACAAAAGUUGCUCAGAAUGAUGAGACGAAUCCGAACACGCGGUCCAUUCGUCUGCCACACGUCCCUAGCGUAGCAAACGUUGAAUUUUUUCCCUCCGGUUCAUCUGUCUGACGGAUGUCCGGAACCGGGAAAACUUUCCCGGAAGUUAUCCCACUUCACCGAUAUUGUGUAGCACCGCGUUAGAACACCUCUAGCAAUCGCUUAUUGUCAUGUUGUGCAUAUAUUUGCGUGUACUUACUGUUUUCUCCUCCCUCUUUUCUUCGGUAUACCCCGUGACGGCUGCCGAUGCCACUGUGAUCGACUACGUCGACGACGACCCUCCUUGUCUGAGCAACCAGGCAAGCCCCCCCGUUUUGAUCAUCCCGAUAUCGCCCAUUCUAUACUCUCAUGCUUGCAUUAGAUUUUGCUGCUGUUAUUGAUUGCUCCUAUUCUGAUGCAUAGCCUGCUUUUGUACCUGCUUAUUGUUACCUACCUGAUCAUCCUAAACUGCUUAGUAUAGGUUGGCUAGUGAUCCAUCAGUGACCCCCACUUGUCCUUGUUGCCCCUGCUUCAUCAUCGACGCCUCGAUCGACGUGAUCGACAACCAGAGCCCGACACCUCACAUCACAUCACGCCCCUUUAGUUGCUCGACUCUGCAGAGCUACUAUUGAGUGCCGAGGGUGAUCCCUCAUAACGCACUCUUGAUGAUAAUUCUGUAGUGUAGCUAUUCAGUCGUGGUCAUCAAGGGUGAUUUCCUCUUUCACCAUUCCCGAUACGGCUCAGUCGUUCAACACCUCAAGUGUGAACCUCGAGGGUGGUCCCUCUUACGUUCACCUUGAUGAUUACAUUGAGUGGAAUCCUCCGUGGGUGAUUCCUCGGGUUUUCCCCUUGAUGUUUGGACACACAGUUACCUUGACUUUACUUGAGACCUUGGUGGAAGUCGGGCGGGCCCGAAGAGCACCCGCAAGAUGGUUACGUGGCACGGCCGGGCAUUCUAGGCCCUUGUCGUAAGUCCACGAGACAGGGCGACGGGGUCACUUUCGAUCGUGAGUCUCUGCUCGUCUCUGCAAGCUAAUAACACACUAUGGUUUGGGUAUUUGUUCUGAGUUGGCCUCUGGCCUUCACGCACCAACCACCACGUGAGAAUAGUUAUGGGCGUCGACGUCGCAUUAUCAGCCGAAGUUUUGUCAGACGUCCAGUUCAGCAGUGCGGCACGGCUGGGCCGGCACCAUCCUGUAGUGGUGGAGCCUGGACCUGCCCUGUACGCAACGACCCGGAGUGCAACGGGCGAUGGGCCCAGACCCCGGAGUGCUUAGGAGGUAGACCGGCGGGGACCUCUCUGCUGAGCCUAGGUAGGGCCGCGACGUGUUGAUCUUCCGAGGCCGGGCAUUGACCCCAGAAAGGUGUUUCCGGACAGAGUGAUCGAGCGUGUUGGAAAACGUGGUGCACCCCUGCAGGGAAGAUUAUCUAUUAAUAGCCAUGUCCACGGUAACGGACGUUCAGACUUAUAUCCUGAUCUUAUACAACUACAAAUGGAUACUUGAGAUAUGUGGCUCCGGGAUUGCUUUCUCGCAGGGAGUCGAGGAAGGAUCUCUGGGCCUUAAUGUUACAACAUGCUUGUUAAAUAUAAACUGCUAUUCCUUACUCUUCUACAUGCUGCAAGAUGCUCGGAGCUGCGUGAAGAUGCUAGUCUUCGAUAGGCUAGGCUUUCCCCCUCUAUUCUGGCAUUCUGCAGUUCAGUCCACAGAUACAACCCUUCCAUUUGAUACAAAUGCAUACUUAGUAUAGAUCUGAUGCUUGCGAGUACUUUGGAUGAGUACUCACGGUUGCUUUGCUACCCCUUUUCCCCCUUCUAUCUUCUUUCCGGUUGGUGCAACCAGAUGGUGGAUCCUUGGAGCCAGAUGCCACCGCCGAUGGAUGCUACUACGUGGAGGCCGUCGACGACCAGGAGUAGUUAGGAGGUCCCAGGCAGGAGGCCUUGCCUCUUCGAUCGUUGUUGCUUUUGUGCUAGCCUUCUUAAGGCAUCCUUGUUUAACUUAUGUAUGUACUCAGAUAUUUUUGCUUCCGCUGACUCUUGUGUAUCGAGCUAUGUAUUCGAGACCUCGAGGCCCCUGGCUUGUAAUAUAAAGCUUG